AAAUUGAAGAGUUUGAUCAUGGCUCAGAUUGAACGCUGGCGGCAGGCCUAACACAUGCAAGUCGAACGGUAGCACAGAGGAGCUUGCUCCUUGGGUGACGAGUGGCGGACGGGUGAGUAAUGUCUGGGAAACUGCCCGAUGGAGGGGGAUAACUACUGGAAACGGUAGCUAAUACCGCAUAACGUCGCAAGACCAAAGAGGGGGACCUUCGGGCCUCUUGCCAUCGGAUGUGCCCAGAUGGGAUUAGCUAGUAGGUGGGGUAACGGCUCACCUAGGCGACGAUCCCUAGCUGGUCUGAGAGGAUGACCAGCCACACUGGAACUGAGACACGGUCCAGACUCCUACGGGAGGCAGCAGUGGGGAAUAUUGCACAAUGGGCGCAAGCCUGAUGCAGCCAUGCCGCGUGUAUGAAGAAGGCCUUCGGGUUGUAAAGU
rnacentral:rRNA from 2 species